rnacentral:rRNA from 1 species
UGGGGAAUUUUGGACAAUGGGCGAAAGCCUGAUCCAGCAAUGCCGCGUGUGUGAAGAAGGCCUUCGGGUUGUAAAGCACUUUUGUCCGGAAAGAAAUCCUCUGGGUUAAUACCUCGGGGGGAUGACGGUACCGGAAGAAUAAGCACCGGCUAACUACGUGCCAGCAGCCGCGGUAAUACGUAGGGUGCAAGCGUUAAUCGGAAUUACUGGGCGUAAAGCGUGCGCAGGCGGUUUUGUAAGACGGAUGUGAAAUCCCCGGGCUUAACCUGGGAACUGCAUUCGUGACUGCAAGGCUAGAGUAUGGCAGAGGGGGGUAGAAUUCCACGUGUGAGCAGUGAAAUGCGUAGAGAUGUGGAGGAAUACCGAUGGCGAAGGCAGCCCCCUGGGCCAAUACCUGACGCUCAUGCACGAAAGCGUGGGGAGCAAACAGGAUUAGAUACCCUGGUAGUCCACGCCCUAAACGAUGUC